rnacentral:rRNA from 1 species
AAUCAACGCUGGCGGCGUGCCUAACACAUGCAAGUCGAACGCGAAAGUGGCUUCGGCCAUAAGUAGAGUGGGCAAACGGGUGAGUAACACGUGGGUGACCUACCUUUGAGUGGGGGGAUAACGCUUCGAAAGGGGCGCUAAUACCGCAUGACAUCCUGCCUUUUAAUGGGUGGCGAUCAAAGCCGGGGAUCGUAAGACCUGGCGCUCGAAGAGGGGCCCGCGGCCGAUUAGCUAGUUGGUGAGGUAAUGGCUCACCAAGGCAACGAUCGGUAGCCGGCCUGAGAGGGCGGACGGCCACACUGGGACUGAGACACGGCCCAGACUCCUACGGGAGGCAGCAGUGGGGAAUUGUUCGCAAUGGGCGAAAGCCUGACGACGCAACGCCGCGUGGAGGAUGAAGGCCCUCGGGUCGUAAACUCCUUUCGAUCGAGAAGAAUUUCCUCGGGACGAAUACUCCCGGGGGGUGACGGUACCGAGAGAAGAAGCCCCGGCUAACUCCGUG